AUGUCCUUCAGUGCUGGAAGGAACAAAUUAGGGGCAGGAUAAUCUGGUAAACCAAUCCUGCAGGUGUUUUCAGAGUGCGGUUUAUCAAGGAAUUACCAGAGGACCAAAAGUAUCUGUGACUAGUGAGGAAAUGAUGGGAGAAGCCAUCCACAUCCUAUUUCAACGCAAACCUACAUUCUGAUGUACAACAAACUCAAGCCUUCAGGUUGAGUGUAUCAUCUCACCUAUCCCUUGAGGAGCCACUCAAAGAGCAUUGGUUUGGAAGGGGGAAAAGAAAAAAGAAAAAGAAAAGCAAAUCAGAGGACUUGUUCACCCUUCCCUUCCUCAUGCAUAGGGGAUAGACCACAGCAUGAUCCCUCCAGAGAAAUGCACUGCAAAAUGCAAGAAGAAAUGCAACCAAGGAGUGAGAGAGAACUGGACCCAAUGUUUUUCAAAAGAGUCACAGAGAAAAAUUAACAGAAGGCAAUACUAUGAUAUCACUAAGAUGUGACAUGGCACAAGUCCAGGUCUGCUACCUAGGAAAGGUGUAAUCAAGGAGAAAAUCUAUAUUGGAAAAAUUAGAGACAGUGAAGGAGACCAAGAUACAAUCAGACAGAGCCUGGAUAAGACGGGCUGUAACCAGCAAGAUUGCUUCAGAAAAUAAACGGGAAUUGCUGUUCAGAAGAGUCCUUGGUGAGCAGAGCAAGGAGGAGGAAGGGGGAGAGGGGAGGAGACUGGAGGAAGAGGCGGAAAUCAAAAGGGAAGCACUGGAAAGGAAGAGACAAAGGGCACCUGUGUUUUACAUAUGUGGAGAGAGAAAAGCAAUACAAUCAGCAUGCUUUAUUUUCAUGUGCUCAAGCCAUUACAUCACACAGGAGAGGUAUAAUAAACUGUACUAGCGAGUGGUUAGGUCACCCUAAUGAAUACAAAUAAAAUAUCUCU